CCUACGGGAGGCAGCAGUAGGGAAUCUUGGACAAUGGGCGCAAGCCUGAUCCAGCCAUGCCGCGUGAGUGAAGAAGGCCUUAGGGUCGUAAAGCUCUUUCGCCUGUGAUGAUAAUGACAGUAGCAG
rnacentral:rRNA from 1 species